rfam:Triticum urartu cultivar G1812 contig797172, whole genome shotgun sequence.
CACAUACUCCCUCCAUCCGAAAAAGCUUGUCCCAAGCUUAUCUCUCAAAUCAAUGUAUCUAGCAUUAACUUGAUGCUAGAUACAUCCAUUUGAGAGACAAGCUUUUCGGACGGAGGGAGUAGUUC